rnacentral:rRNA from 1 species
AGGUCAAGCAAUAAGGGCACAGGGCGGAUGCCUUGGCACUAAGAGCCGAUGAAAGACGUGAUAAGCUGCGAAAAGCUUCGGGGAGGAGCAAAUAUCCCGUGAUCCGGAGAUGUCUGAAUGGGGAAACCCGCAUGAGCAGACCUCAUGCAUCCAUACGCCAAUCCAUAACGUAUGGAAGGGAACCCGGGGAACUGAAACAUCUAAGUACCCGGAGGAAAAGAAAGAAACAUCGAUUCCGUAAGUAGCGGCGAGCGAACGCGGAGGAGCCUAAACCGGUGUGCGUGCAUGCCGGGGUCAUGGACUGCAUUUAAGAUUCAGCGAAGUUAACAGAACGGUUUUGGGAAAGCCGGCCGGAGAGGGUGAAAGCCCCGUACGUGAAAGCAGAGCUGACUGAGCAGGAUCCGGAGUACCACGAGACACGAGGAACCUUGUGGGAAGUAAGGGGGACCACCCCCUAAGGCUAAAUACUACUUAGUGACCGAUAGCGCAUAGUACUGUGAAGGAAAGGUGAAAAGGACCCCGGGAGGGGAGUGAAAGAGAACCUGAAACCCUGUGUCUACAAGCUGUGGAAGUACUUUAUAUGUACGACCGCGUACUUUUUGUAGAACGGUCCGGCGAGUUACGCUUACUGGCAAGGUUAAGCACUUCAGGUGUGGAGCCGUAGGGAAACCAAGUCUUAAUAGGGCCAGAGUCAGUAGGAGUAGACCCGAAACCGGGUGAUCUAUCCAUGUCCAGGUUGAAGCUGCCGUAAGAGGUAGUGGAGGACCGAACCCACAUCCGUUGAAAAGGGUGGGGAUGAGGUGUGGAUAGGGGAGAAAUUCCAAUCGAACCCGGAGAUAGCUGGUUCUCCUCGAAAUAGCUUUAGGGCUAGCCUCGGUGUGAGUCUUGCGGAGGUAGAGCACUGAAUUUCCUAGGGGGCGUCAAAGCCUACCGAAGAAUAUCAAACUCCGAAUGCCGUGUAGAUAUCACCGGGAGUCAGACUGCACGAGAUAAGUUGGGCGGUCAAAAGGGAAAGAGCCCAGACCUACAGUUAAGGUCCCAAAGUGCGCGUUAAGUGGAAAAGGAUGUGGGAUUUCGAAGACAACCAGGAUGUUGGCUCAGAAGCAGCCAUACAUUCAAAGAGUGCGUAAUAGCUCACUGGUCGAGAGGUCCUGCGCCGAAAAUGUCCGGGGCUGAAACGCGCCACCGAAACUAAGGAAUCUGAAAAGAUUGGUAGAGGAGCAUUGCAUGCGGGAAGAAGCAGUACCGGAAGGAGCUGUGGACUGCAUGGAAGAGAGAAUGCCGGAAUGAGUAGCGAGAUAGAGGUGGGAAUCCUCUAGGCCGAAUAUCCAAGGUUUCCAGGGUAAAGCUGAUCUGCCCUGGGUGAGUCGGGACCUAAGGUGAGGGCGGGAGCCGUAGCCGAUGGACAACAGGUUGAUAUUCCUGUACUGCAGUAUAACAGAACUGUGGGGACACGUAAGGAGAGCGGGAGCCGGGAAUGGAAAGCCCGGUACAAGNNNNNNNNNNGGAAGGAGCUGUGGACUGCAUGGAAGAGAGAAUGCCGGAAUGAGUAGCGAGAUAGAGGUGGGAAUCCUCUAGGCCGAAUAUCCAAGGUUUCCAGGGUAAAGCUGAUCUGCCCUGGGUGAGUCGGGACCUAAGGUGAGGGCGAGAGCCGUAGCCGAUGGACAACAGGUUGAUAUUCCUGUACUGCAGUAUGACAGAACUGUGGGGACACGUAAGGAGAGCGGGAGCCGGGAAUGGAAAGCCCGGUACAAGCGAGGUACCAGUCACAUAGGAAAAUCCGUGUGGCAAUGGGAAGACGUGAUGUGGAGCGAAGAUUAGUAGCGAAGCCCGUGAGCCAUGCGUCAAGAAAAGCCGCUAUCGUUCAUAUUGUACCCGUACCGNNNNNNNNNNAAUAUAGUAACGAAGCCCGUGAGCCAUGCGUCAAGAAAAGCCGCUAUUGUUUAUAUUGUACCCGUACCGUAAACCGACACAGGUGGAUGAGGAGAGAAUCCUAAGGCCGGCGGAAGAAGUAUUGCCAAGGAACUCGGCAAAAUGGCCCCGUAACUUAGGGAGAAGGGGUGCCUGCGAGAGCAGGCCGCAGAGAAUAGGCUCAAGCAACUGUUUAGCAAAAACACAGGUCUAUGCGAAACCGAAAGGUGAGGUAUAUGGGCUGACGCCUGCCCGGUGCUGGAAGGUUAAGAGGAGAGGUUAGACGUAAGUCGAAGCUUUGAAUUUAAGCCCCAGUAAACGGCGGCCGUAACUAUAACGGUCCUAAGGUAGCGAAAUUCCUUGUCGGGUAAGUUCCGACCCGCACGAAAGGCGUAAUGAUUUGAGCGCUGUCUCGGCAAUACAUCCGGUGAAAUUGAAGUGCCAGUGAAGAUGCUGGCUACCCGCGCCAGGACGGAAAGACCCCAUGGAGCUUUACUCCAGUUUGGCACUGGGGUCCGGUGUUGCAUGUACAGGAUAGGUGGGAGGCUGAGAAACGGUAACGUCAGUUGCCGCGGAGCCGCUGUUGGGAUACCACCCUUGUGAUAUUGGGCUUCUAACCAGCCGCCGUGAUCCGGCGGUGGGACAAUGCCAGGCGGGGAGUUUGACUGGGGCGGUCGCCUCCGAAAGGGUAUCGGAGGCGCCCAAAGGUUCCCUCAGAAUGGACGGAAACCAUUCGAAGAGUGCAAAGGCAGAAGGGAGCUUGACUGCGACACCGACGGGUGGAGCAGGUACGAAAGUAGGGCUUAGUGAUCCGGUGGUAUUAAGUGGGAAUGCCAUCGCUCAACGGAUAAAAGCUACCCUGGGGAUAACAGGCUUAUCACUCCCAAGAGUUCACAUCGACGGAGUGGUUUGGCACCUCGAUGUCGGCUCAUCGCAUCCUGGGGCUGUAGUAGGUCCCAAGGGUUGGGCUGUUCGCCCAUUAAAGCGGUACGCGAGCUGGGUUCAGAACGUCGUGAGACAGUUCGGUCCCUAUCCGGCGUGGGCGUAGGAUAUCUGAGAGGAGCUGUCCUUAGUACGAGAGGACCGGGAUGGACGGACCGCUGGUGGACCGGUUGGCUUGCCAAAGCCAUGGCCGGGUAGCCAAGUCCGGAAGGGAUAAACGCUGAAGGCAUCUAAGCGUGAAGCCCCCCUCAAGAUGAGAUAUCCCAUUCUUAGUGAAGUAAACCCCCUUGAAGACGACGAGGUAGAUAGGGCAGAGGUGGAAGUGUGGUAACACAUGGAGCUGACUGUUACUAAUCGGGUGAGGGCUUGACCAAGAA